AUUGAACGCUGGCGGCAGGCUUAACACAUGCAAGUCGAGCGGAGAUGAGGUGCUUGCACCUUAUCUUAGCGGCGGACGGGUGAGUAAUGCUUAGGAAUCUGCCUAUUAGUGGGGGACAACAUUCCGAACGGAAUGCUAAUACCGCAUACGCCCUGCGGGGGAAAGCAGGGGAUCUUCGGACCUUGCGCUAAUAGAUGAGCCUAAGUCGGAUUAGCUAGUUGGUGGGGUAAAGGCCUACCAAGGCGACGAUCUGUAGCGGGUCUGAGAGGAUGAUCCGCCACACUGGGACUGAGACACGGCCCAGACUCCUACGGGAGGCAGCAGUGGGGAAUAUUGGACAAUGGGCGGAAGCCUGAUCCAGCCAUGCCGCGUGUGUGAAGAAGGCCUUUUGGUUGUAAAGCACUUUAAGCGAGGAGGAGGCUACCUGGAUUAAUACUCUAGGAUAGUGGACGUUACUCGCAGAAUAAGCACCGGCUAACUCUGUGCCAGCCGCCGCAGUAACAC
rnacentral:rRNA from 1 species